rnacentral:rRNA from 1 species
AGAGUUUGAUCAUGGCUCAGGAUGAACGCUGGCGGCGUGCCUAAUACAUGCAAGUCGAGCGAACUGAUUAGAAGCUUGCUUCUAUGACGUUAGCGGCGUACGGGUGAGUAACACGUGGGCAACAUGCCUGUAAGACUGGGAUAACUUCGGGAAACCGAAGCUAAUACCGGAUAGGAUCUUCUCCUUCAUGGGAGAUGAUUGAAAGAUGGUUUCGGCUAUCACUUACAGAUGGGCCCGCGGUGCAUUAGCUAGUUGGUGAGGUAACGGCUCACCAAGGCAACGAUGCAUAGCCGACCUGAGAGGGUAAUCGGCCACACUGGGACUGAGACACGGCCCAAACUCCUACGGGAGGCAGCAGUAGGGAAUCUUCCGCAAUGGACGAAAGUCUGACGGAGCAACGCCGCGUGAGUGAUGAAGGCUUUCGGGUCGUAAAACUCUGUUGUUAGGGAAGAACAAGUACGAGAGUAACUGCUCGUACCUUGACGGUACCUAACCAGAAAGCCACGGCUAACUACGUGCCAGCAGCCGCGGUAAUACGUAGGUGGCAAGCGUUAUCCGGAAUUAUUGGGCGUAAAGCGCGCGCAGGCGGUUUCUUAAGUCUGAUGUGAAAGCCCACGGCUCAACCGUGGAGGGUCAUUGGGAAAC